AUUGAACGCUGGCGGCAUGCCUUACACAUGCAAGUCGAACGGUAACAGGUCUUCGGAUGCUGACGAGUGGCGAACGGGUGAGUAAUACAUCGGAACGUGCCUAGUAGUGGGGGAUAACUACUCAAAAGAGUGGCUAAUACCGCAUGAGAUCUACGGAUGAAAGCAGGGGAUCGCAAGACCUUGUGCUACUAGAGCGGCCGAUGGCAGAUAAGGUAGUUGGUGGGAUAAAAGCUUACCAAGCCGACGAUCUGUAGCUGGUCUGAGAGGACGAUCAGCCCCACUGGGACUGAGACACGGCCCAGACUCCUACGGGAGGCAGCAGUGGGGAAUUUUGGACAAUGGGCGCAAGCCUGAUCCAGCCAUGCCGCGUGUCUGAAGAAGGCCUUCGGGUUGUAAAGGACUUUUGUCCGGGAGCAAAUGCCUGGUGUUAAUAGCACUGGGAGCUGAGAGUACCGGAAGAAUAAGCACCGGCUAACUACGUGCCAGCCGCCGCGGUAAAAC
rnacentral:rRNA from 1 species